AGAGCGUGGAGGUGGCGCGGGCGCGGCGGUGGGCCUGGGGGUCGUCACUCCUGCAGCUGGCAGCCGCCGCUCCGCGCUUCCUGCCGCAUCUCUCUUGCCCGGCGGGCGCCCAUCCCGUCCCGCCCCGGCCCGUGGACCUGCAAACCGAGGCUCAGAGCGGAUUUGCCCUAGGGGCUUUCACGAGCUUAGCAGAGGGGUUCCCGGCGGGGUUCCCUGGGGUCACGGGGCGCGAUGAGCAGCGAAGAAAGGAGGCGAGGAGCUGCGUCCGGGCUGGGUGCUCUCUGAACGCGAGGAGGCGGGAUGCGCUCGCCGGGGUCCAUGAUGUGCUCGGCGCCCGUCCCUGGGCCCGGGAAUGCGGCCGCUGGGGAACCCGGGCCAGCGAAUUCGCCCGCGAUCUCCGCGGAUCCCAGGACUGCCAGCGCUUUGGCCCUAGAUGGACGGUGGGGAAUGGGGUAGGGGGCUCCGGAACCCCUAACGUGGAUUACUUGGUGCAUAUCGCCCGGGCAUGGAAGACCCACCACCUCGUCUCCACCCGUGGAUUGAUGUCUUCUGCCGAACAGGUCGCUUACCUGGAGGUGGAACCAGAGAUUCGUGGCUGCUGUGAGUAGGUGCUUCUGACGGGGAAAGAAGGACAAGAUGAGAGGCCUGGAAGGAAGGACCGAUACAGGGCUGUUCUUCCUCGCCCACGCUUCCCACCAGGAACUUCUGUGGAGCCAGAGUUUGCCGCCAGGACCCCCACAGGACCUGGGUGAAACAGGACCAUCUCUUAAGAGGCAAGAGCUCUUGAUUUGAUUGAGGAUUCUUAUUUUGGAGAACAAAGCAACUUCCAGAUUUGAGAAGACCUACAGUUGAAGAAGACACCAUUGUCCCGGAUCCCUUGUUCUUCCUUCGCGUGGGAAAUGUUUCUUGGCGGGUUCCUGGUCUUAAGACUCCCCCACACCGGCCCCGGGGAAGCCAAGGACUUUCUGCCACACCCUUCCUCGCCCCCCACCUCCCACGUCCGCUGUGCCUUUGGACUCGGCAAUUCUUCUUGUUUGCUCCAUUAUCUUCCAGCCGGAUACAGAGUGAAUAGUUAACUACCCGCAGGUCAAUGGGGUCUUAAUUUUUGUUCCUGCUCCCUCUACAGAGGCCAGUGUCUGUGUGUUGCUAUGCAAGCGGCCUUGGAAUUGCAUCCCUUCUCAUUGAUUUGGGAUCUGGCCCCCGCAGGUUCCAGAGCAAUGCGGGUCCAGGCAGAAAUUCUUCAGGCUCUCAGGAUGUUGGAGGGGGCGCUGGCCGCGAGCUGGACCAUGAAGGCUGGCGUUCCCCACAUUCAGCUUUCUUGGGUUCGGAUCAUAAGCAGGUGUAGAUCUGGAGAAGCAGAAAAUGAACACAUUUUCUACUGACACCGAUGCACGGUCAACGGUGAAGACCUUCUCCCAGCUAGCAUUUGGGUUCUGUGUCCAAACGCGGCGCUUCAUGGCAGAGUAUCCAGCCACCAGAGUUGGUGUGUCUUGAGGACCUGAAUUCUUGAGUGUGUGCUGGUGACACAGCCCUCUGACAGUCGAUGGGGCCUCACAAAACACAAGUCCUGCCUUUUCCUUUUCACUCUGUGGCCGUCAUACAUACGGCUAAAAACAUUUCCUAGAGAUCAGUCAUGGUUCAGUCGUGUCCAAAACGCAGAGCCAAAGAUGCAUUUUCUCUUUUCACAGCAAAUGAAUGACUUGCCUUCGGAAAAAGAAUGAAAGCCAGACAUUCUGCAUCUUUCCCGUGUUGUAGAUGAUGCAUUUGGAUGACCACUUUGUGACUUUGGUGUCUUAGAAGGGAAGCAGUGGGGUCCUUGGCAUCUCAGAUUCACCACAAAACAGACGAGGAGAACUUCUGGAGGAUGGUUUGUGCUUUUGAAAUGGGAGGCUUGUUUGUGGGCUUUUACCUUCCUUCCUUGACCUGCAGACACCUCAUUGCAUUAGAUUCCUUUGGGUUUUAAGAAGCAGAGACUUGCUGAUACUGCUCCGUACGUGCUGGUUUGUUUCGAGUUGCCAUGGACGUAAAGAAGAAAGGAAGCAGCCCGCCGAGGCGCUCUCCACCUAGGCCUGCCCAAGAAGCCCAAGUCGUUCCAGAUAGCCAGGGAUAGCAGAACCGAACCACCCUGGCCAUCUUGAUCUUCUGUUUGCACCAGCAUCCACUGUUCCCAGGAUCCUACCAUGGUGAUGAGCUGAGGGUGACUCAGUUGGCCCAGGACUGAGGAGUUUCCUGGGAUGCAGGACUUUUUAGUGCUAAACCUAGGACAGUCCUAAGCAAACUGGAACAACCAGUCACCCUACUGGGUGACUCGAGGACCCUGCCUCUCUUCUACUUUCCCUGCUGUGACUGGCUGAUGCUCUUGAUGGGUCUGGCCAGUCGCCAUUCAAAACUCUUGCGUCAGGCAACUUCAUUGGCCACUGGGCUACCUAUAGAUGGGUGCCCGUGGACCCAGCACCAACCCAUCUUGACCAGAUUUGUUGUUUCCAGGGUCAUAGGGUUGCAUAAUCUAGAAUAAAAGCCUGGCUGUAAACAACCAGCUGAGACCACUUCCUUCAGAAGACUGCUGUGGACAGGUGGCCCUGGCAGGCAUUCAAGGUAAAAUGAGUGAGUCAGGCCACACGCUUCCCAAAGCCUCUGCCAGCGCUGCCAUCCACAGGGCUGCCAUAUUGGAUGCAGUUCAUGACAAAGGAUUUGCUACUUUUUGUUCUCUCUGGCUCUCCUCCUGCCUUCCCUUCAGCUUGCUCCAAGAUCAUGUUGACAGAUGAUUUCAGCCGGAUAUGCUGAAAGACGAGCUGACAGGGCAGCGCUGGGAGUGCCGACCAGGCUUGUCAUUCUCCAUGGAGGGAGAUUUCCAGACCUCCAGAGGCUGGACCACCCCCAAGUCUACCCAGUUUCCAAGCAUGUGCUGCAGUGAAACGAAGCUUGAUGGCCCAUUCCUUACCCGUUGCCUUGAACAUCUCCAGGCUGCUCUAAAGCACUGCCACCCUGGGGUCCUCGGAUCUCCUGGUGCUGUCCCUGGGUGGGUACCGUACCCCGCCCGGGCACAUUGCGCCACAUCAAACUCCAGAUGCCCUUUCUCCAGGCCACCCCGGUAACCAUCCGUGGAGAAGGCGUCUUAACCAGCCUGCCCGGAUGUAACAGUUCCCCACCGCUACUCAUGCAGUCAAGGGUUGGGAAUGUUCUGGAAUUGCUUAAUUAGGAGAGUUCCUUUCACACACCAGUGGUGAUUUUUUAUUGAACUCAGCGUGAUUUUUAAUCCUCUGGCAGGUCUUCCUGGAUGUGUCUGUGUUUUUAAAGAUCAAUGUUGAGCAGCCAGGCUCCUGAAAUCCUGCUAACCCUUCAAGGCUCGUUGCAAAUGCUCCCUUCUCUAGGAAGCCUUCCUGGGUUUCUUCGUCCGAGUUGUGACUUCUCCCUCUGCCAUAUACUCUCUCAAAGCACCUGGCAUAGGAUAGGUACCCCCAAAAGGUCAAGGUUGACUGCCUUGACCGUAGCAUUUUUGUAUGUCAUUUACUGUGCUUAUAUGGAACUUGUUUUAAAACUCCUUCUCCCAACACUUCUCUCUCUCUGUCUUUCUCUCUCUCUUUCAUUAAAACAGGAACUGAGUCACUCCUUACACAUUGAAUUUAUCCCUGAAAUGCCCAAUACUGUUCAGGAUCACAUGGCACGUACUGUGACUGAUAUUUAAUCCUCAGAAAAUGGAGUUCCCCUGGUGGCUCCACAAAAAUCAAUCUGACUAACAUCCAUGAGGAUGCAGGUUCGAUCCCUGGACUCACUCAGUGGGUUAAGGAUCCGGCAUUGCCAUGAGCUGUGGUGUAGGUCACAAAUGCAGCUCACAUCUGGCAUAGCUGUGGCUGUGGUGUAGGCCGGCAGCUGCAGCUCCAAUUUGACCCCUAGCCUGGGAACUUCCAUAUGCUGCAAGUGCAGCCCUAAAAAGACACACCAAAAAAGUUCUCAGAAAAUGAAAAUUUACAGGAAUCAAUGACUUCGAUCAAGUCUUAUAUGUGAGAGUUUGGAUUCAAAACCAAGGUCAUUGGAGAUUUGAAGUUCAGGGCUCUUAAAUCAUAGCGUGGUGGCUUUUACCUGGUAGACAUAGAAGAAAAAGUUGGAGUUGAUUUUCCUUACUAAUGAUCUGUUGCUCUGUGUACCAUGAAUCCCUGCCCACUAUUAAUCAAGAAGGUGUUUUCUCAGGAGCAGAGAAAACGUGCUUGUUCCUUAAUGGGUGGGUCUCCCCACAGACACUCUUCUGGAAAUAGCGUGUGUCUGGUUUUUGCCAGUUCUGUGAGAGCUAGGGUGAUUUUUAAGGAGGGGAAGAAAAAUUUAAACUCAAAAGUUUAGGUCAGAAUCUCUCAAGAAUUUCACAACGUCUAGCACGGGGAAAUAGAGCAGAAAAACACAACACAUAGGAGAUAGCUUUUUCCCUGGAGAUCUUCCUUACAGGCUGGUUCUGCAAGAAUGGCACACAUAAAACCAUCAGUCCCAUUUGCCACACAGACUCAUGGUUAGGGCUACUGGAGACCCUUGGUAGGUAAUGCUGCCAGCUCUUUGCCCUGACAUGAAUGUGUCCAGCAAGUCACAGAGACUUGGAUAAUGAUAAGCAGAUCCCCUACUUCGGUUCUGAGCGUCAGGGCUUCCACUUGGGGACAGAAGGCAAAGAUGGAAGAGGUGCUAUUCCAGAACCAGCAGACCCAGGGAGGGAACAGCUUGUUCCCAUUUGCUAUCUGGUUAACCAACCGUUCCAUGGGGAAGAGCAUAGAAAGGGGGAAGAAGAGCAGAAAUGUAGGCAGAAGUUUCACCUUGUGGGGGGGGGAAGGACGCAGAGACCACCCCCUCUUCUUCGUAUGAAUGGGGACAAUUAGAAUUUGGGCAGAUUGGGGGGUCCUCUAUGAGCUCUGGUCACCAGGACCAAUUUCAGACCUUUAAGCGACGUUAAGACACUCAGCCAAGAAAAAUCAAGGAGCUCAGGGAAGAGUCGCAGCCCAGUGUUUUUCAGGAAAUAAUACAGCCCCAUGUCUUAUUGCAGCUUGAAGGCUCUUUGAAAAGCUUCUCAUUUGAAUCUCCUAGCAACUCUGUGAGACAGUCUUAAGAUCUCUGUGUUCUAGGUGAGGAAAGUAAGCCGUAUUAGUCACCAUAGACUGCUGUAACAAAACAGCCCGAAAUCUCCGUUGUUGUACAUGGUGGGUCUUUCCCAUUCAUUCUCCAGGGGGAUGUGAGGCAGCAGUGGGAGAAGAAUGAUCUUUUUCAGGCAGGUAUUCAUGGCCUCGGGUUCCUAUCUUAAGAUAGCUCCCAACUUGGAACCCUGACACCUCCAAGGAGGAACUCAGCCUCAUCUUUAGACUGUUUUGUCAGGUGGUUGCAAGGUUGAAAUGGAUUCUUGCAGGUGCAGCACUUAGUGGCUGAGACACAGCCCUCAAUAGAUGGGGGCUUUUACCUCUGUGCUCUGACCUUGGAACUGUCUGGGCCUGUCUGCCAUGCCUCUUGGCGCACAUGAUCUGGGUGGAAAGAGAUCUCAAAUGCAAACUCCAUCACUCUAUGUACGUUUCUCCGAUGUGACACAGCAUCCCUGAAUCUCUCCAGCUUUGGGGAGCUCUUUUAGUUGUUCGGUUUGGUUGGUGGGCUCGAGUUGAGAUGCCAGCCAAGAGCAGAGAUGCUGCUGCCUAGAUACUGGCCCUCAGAACAGCGAUUCUCUUUCCCGGGGCGUCUCGGUCCCAUGUCAGCCUCAUCGGACUCUAAUACCAGUCAAACUUUUUCUCGCAAAGGCCAAGUUCUUUCUAGAACCUGUCAGUUGCCUCUGCUGACUAAGGACGCCCCACAAAAUACUCAAUGAGACCUAUGCAUCGGGUUCUUAAACCCUUUCUGUUGCCUCCCUACCUGGGCAUAGAAAAGAGCUGAUCUCACAGGCCGGGCCACCUUCUCCCUGUUUCUGCGCCUAGAUUUCAGAUCGUACCCUCCUCCACUGCAGACCAACAAGCCUCUCUGGCAGACCCCCCGCUGGGCGGGGGCUUAUGUCAUGUGAGAGCUCAGUCGCCAGGGCUCUGGCACCAGCUCCAUCUGCUCUGUCUUCAGUUCUCCCAGCACCACUGGAGAAUGGAAAGGCUGGUCUGUUUAUAGGACGUGGGGCCAGAACAGCAUUAAAAACUAAGGAGCAAAUAAAAUGUUGUAAACAAAUUUCCUUUCCAGUAAGAAGUGCUUCUCUCCCGGCCCUCCGACAGGAACCAUUUUUCUCCUGUGUUUGGAUAAACGUUCAUCCUGGGCAAUUACCAUUCUCAGGGAGGGGCUGCCUGUUUCCGCUGCCUAUUUAUUUUGAUUUUGGCCAUUCCUGCCCCUUCUGAGCAUCACACAUCUAAUAGGAAAGAAACUGCUCCCUCUGGGCACACAAGGAGCAGCCCCCUCCACUCCCCCCCCCCAACUCCCAUUUUCCAUCACCCCUCCCCGCUUCCCUGUCCAGACUCCCCAUCAGGAAGCUGUCUGCCAGGAGAGCCAGCAGUGUCAGUUAAGGGAGAAGGAAGGAGAGAAGGGCAGGGGAGAUGGAGGUGAAGCGGAGGAGAGAAAUGUUUCAAAUAAAAGCUGGAACAGAU
rnacentral:lncRNA from 1 species